UUUCCGUAGGUGAGCCUGCGGAAGGAUCAUUAAAGGGAUCAUGCCCCCACGGGUAGACCUCCCACCCUUUGUUUACAAUACCUUUGUUGCUUUGGCGGGCCCGUUUGGCCCCGCGCUGAACAACCGGCCCCGGCUGGUCAGUGCCCGCCAGAGAACCGAAAACUCUGAAUUAAAUGUCGUCUGAGUACUAUGUAAUAGUUAAAACUUUCAACAACGGAUCUCUUGGUUCUG
rnacentral:misc_RNA from 1 species